AUUGCUUCUCAGCCUUUUGGCUAAGAUCAAGUGUUGUACUGUAAUAAUUUUGAAUGGUCAUUAAUCAAAUGGUCAUAUGUUCAGAACUACUUGUAGACUAUAUCUAAAAGUUUUUAUGGAAGGGACCAAUCAAGACUGAGACUUU
rnacentral:snRNA from 1 species